AUUGAACGCUGGCGGCAUGCUUUACACAUGCAAGUCGAACGGCAGCGCGGGCUUCGGCCUGGCGGCGAGUGGCGAACGGGUGAGUAAUACAUCGGAACGUGCCCAGUAGUGGGGGAUAGCUCGGCGAAAGCCGGAUUAAUACCGCAUACGACCUGAGGGUGAAAGCGGGGGAUCUUCGGACCUCGCGCUAUUGGAGCGGCCGAUGGCAGAUUAGCUAGUUGGUGGGGUAAAGGCCUACCAAGGCGACGAUCUGUAGCUGGUCUGAGAGGACGACCAGCCACACUGGGACUGAGACACGGCCCAGACUCCUACGAGAGGCAGCAGUGGGGAAUUUUGGACAAUGGGCGAAAGCCUGAUCCAGCAAUGCCGCGUGUGUGAUGAAGGCCUUCGGGUUGUAAAGCACUUUUGGCGGGAACGAAAAGGACUGUGCCAAUACCACGGUUCGAUGACGGUACCCGCAGAAUAAGCACCGGCUAACUACGUG
rnacentral:rRNA from 1 species